rnacentral:rRNA from 1 species
UCAGAGCGAACGCUGGCGGCAGGCCUAACACAUGCAAGUCGAACGGGCGUAGCAAUACGUCAGUGGCAGACGGGAGAGUAACAUGUGGGAACGUGCCCUUUGGUUCGGAACAACCCAGGGAAACUUGGGCUAAUACCGGAUAAGUCCGCAAGGAGAAAGAUUUAUCGCCAAAGGAUCGGCCCGCGUCUGAUUAGCUUGUUGGUGAGGUAACGGCUCACCAAGGCGACGAUCAGUAGCUGGUCUGAGAGGAUGAUCAGCCUCACUGGGACUGAGAUACGGCCCAGACUCCUACGGGAGGCAGCAGUGGGGAAUAUUGGACAAUGGGCGCAAGCCUGAUCCAGCCAUGCCGCGUGGGUGAUGAAGGCCUUAGGGUUGUAAAGCCCUUUCGGCGGGGAAGAUAAUGACGGUACCCGCAGAAGAAGCCCCGGCUAACUUCGUGCCAGCAGCCGCGGUAAUACGAAGGGGGUUAGCGUUGCUCGGAAUCACUGGGCGUAAAGCGCACGUAGGCGGAUUGCUAAGUCAGGCGUGAAAUCCUGGAGCUCAACUCCAGAACUGCCUUUGAUACUGGCGAUCUUGAGUCCGGGA